rnacentral:lncRNA from 10 species
GUAGGUUGACUGUCGGGACAAGCCCAGGGAUGGCAUUGUUUCUAUUUGCUGAUAAAUGACUCUGGGGCUGUGAAGACUCAGACCCAAGGAGUGACUCAGAAAGUCAGGGGCCCAUGUCAUUCUGCUCUGGGUUCAGACGUGCACUGCAGCAGCACCGGGACUUGACAGCCCUACGGCUCGAUCAGCUUUCUGUUUUCAUUGCCUUACGAUGCCAUGAGUGGAACUAUUGUCAAAUCAGAGUUCACUCCCCAGCUUUUCAGUCUUUCCCCUAAUUCUUGCUCUAUCAGAGGUCGAGGACAACAGUAUAAUGAUUCAUAGGUUCUACUUCCUGGCAAGUAAUCAUUUUCCCACGGGCCCUUGUGAAUUGAUGAAUAUGAAGACACUAAGAAAGCAGAAAUAGAACUGAGAAGAAUGAAAUAACUGUCUCUACCUUUCUCGAAUUGUCUAAUAUGGAAAGAAUGAAAGACAGCUAAUAAGCAACUCUCUGCAAGAAGACAUAUGGCUUAGGUUCUGCUGAGCUAUUGGUGAUUUGAUUCCAUGCAUAUGUAUUCACUACUGGUAUAAGUAUAUACAAUAUAUGUGUUUCUGCAAAGAAUCGUAGACUUGAUGCAUUUUUUAAUAUUUCUUAAGGACUUACUACUGAGUGUCAGUAUGAGAGGAUCGUUUACUUCCUUUUCCCAUUAAUUUUGAUAGCCUGGAUUGAGCAACUUUCUUACCUAGUUUUGUUUUAUGAGGUGCAUUAGCUUUUUCUUUGUGUGUAUGUUUGUGUGUGUGUAGCUUUAUUAACCAUAUUGUUUGGGCUUUUGAUAAAGCAGAGAUUCUGAUAUGGUAUACAUUUUGAACUAAGCAUUCAUUUAUUCAGCAGGGAUGUAUGUUUAAGACACUGUGUUAGCCAAGGGUGAGAAGGCGUGUGGAAUGGUAGAGGAGCAAGGUGAGGUAAGAUGAUUAAAAGACACCAGCUGAGAGUGUUAUUUUAUAUGGCAGAAGGAUGUUUGCAGAUGCAAUUAAGUUAAGGACCUUGAGAUGGGGUAUGUUAUCCUGGUAGGCCCAAUGUAUACAUCAGGGUCCUUAUGAAAGGGAGGCAGGAGAACAGAAUGAGUAGUGAGAAGAGUGAAUGGACAAUACUGAGGACAUGCUUAGGGACCCAAAGAAGCUUGCUAUGGUAGGGCUUGGUGGACUCUGUACUGAUGAGAAAGGCUAGGCCAUGCUAUGGAAGCAAAUAAAUCUGUUGUAAAGUGACAGAGUUUCUCUCUUGCUCAUGCAAAGUCUGCUAAAUGGCUGAGUGAUUCUCAAGGGCAUCCCUCACUCAUGUGAUGGCUCUGCUGUGUGUGCAUCCCUGCUAGCCAGGCAGGUCAGGAGAAUGUUAGAAAUGAAACACUUCCUUCUGGUGGCCAAAAGAAGUCACAUGGCUACAUCUGUUAAUAAUUCGAAGGUUGUAGACAGUAUAAUAUUCCCUUGUCCUAAAAGAGGGAAGCUAGAAAUAUUGGUAAGCAGCACAUAUAUCUUCCCCAUGAUCCCAACUUUGUUGGGUAGAGAAGCAUUUUAAAUAACUUUGGAAUUUACAUAUAUUCCUCAAAUAUCUAGUGGUAACUCCAUGUCUAAAUCCAGGGUACCCACUUUCUUCCCUAAACAUGUUUGAAAGUCCUGCAUUCUCUCAGUAUUGUUACAGAGCCACAUUUCAGUUGAAUUGGUAGUGCUGAGAAAAGCGUUAUUUAUUUUAUUUUUAUUUUAGUUUUUUUUAGAGACUGGGUUUUGCUGUGUUGCCCCGGCUGAUCUUGCACUCCUGGUCUCAAGUGCUCCUCCUAUCUCAGCCAUCCGAAUAGCUGGUAUUACAUGUGCACACCAUAAUGAGAAAAGCAUUAUGAUUAACCUAGUAAAUUGAUUUUUAAUACUGCAUUAUUUGAUUUUCAAGGACUUAAAAAACCACUUCCAGAGAGCUAGACACAAUGAAUACAAGCAAGCUAAUAAUGAAAGUGAGAAACCACAUGCUGCUGAAUUGAGUAUGUAGCAACAUUUGUAAAGAAAUGGCAAAUCAUAUCUAAUUAUUUCAUUGUGCUUACCUUUCUUCAGUCAGAAAGCCUUCGGCAUCUAGUGCAUUUCUACAGAUAUUCCGUGGUGAUUUAAUAUCAAUUAAUAUCAACCUGCAGCAAAGUGUUGACAGUGUUUCUAAAUUCACAAGCCCAACAUUUUGCAGUAUUGGGCAUAAGUGAAGGAGCUUUCCAGGUUGCUGCUAAAAGCAACUCAAAAAGAUGCGAAGUAGAUGUGAAACCUUCAUAUUUGGUACUUCUAUAGCAGAUUGUCUUCUCUCCUAGAAGAGAGGCCAGGAGACAGACUAACCCAUUUCUCUAAUCCAUAUGUUGUUCGCUGAGGCUCCCAAAGCUCUGGGAAGUAAUUUACUUGCAGUUCUCUAGAGAUGGAGGCAGGGAGCUUGAGUGUGAGUCCAGUGGAGACUGUCUUUGGAAUUUCAUCUGAUCACAGGGUCACUGUCCAUUUCUCUUCUCAGCAGGCCUAGGAAAACACCAGGACUAACCCCCUGGAGGGAGCCUAGCUUCAGGAUUAAUUAGGGCUUGAUUAAUUAAUUAAGGUAUGAAUCGAGGGCUUAAACAGUAGUUAACUAAGAAAUAUGUAUUUGUUUUACAAAAGUUAAAAUUUAUGGAACAGUAUAUUAAGAAUUGCUUUUAUUUUAUAAUAUAAUGUGUUAAUGUUAAGUUCUUUCCAUACAUUCUUUCGUUUAAAGCACACACAAAAAUGCAGAUGUGGCCAGGUGCAGUGGCUCACGUCUGUAAUCCUAGCACUUUGGGAGGCUGAGGAAGGCGGAUCACCUGAGGUCAGGAGUUCGAGACCAGCCUGGCCAACAUGGUGAAACCCCAUCUCCAUUAAAAAUACAAAAAUUAGCCGGGCAUGGUGGCAUGCACCUGUAAUCCCAGCUACUUGGGAGGCUGAGGCAGGAGAAUCACUUGAACCUAGGAGGGGGAGGUUGCAGUGAGCCAAGAUCGCACCACUGCACUCCAGCCUGGGCGACAGAGCGAGAAUCCAUCUAAAGAAAAAAAUGCAGAUGAAGGGCCUGCCUUGAUUGUCCUGUGAACAGUUUGUGUGCAGUGGGGAGGCUGAAGGUCUGGCCUCCUUUGCUUCUGGUGUCUUCACCGCCACCACUUCUGCCCCUGUGUCUCUAUAUAGUGUAAGGGAUUGGUAUUAAUUAUUUCCCAUUUUACAGAUGAGGAAACUGAAAUCCAGAGAAAUGGAGUGAGUUGGCCAAGUGCACACAGCUCAUUUCUUACCUAGUAUUUACUGUUCACACACUGUAUAGACCCUUUAAUAAGCUAAUCUAAAAGAUUAAUCUAAAAGAUUAGAUACAUUACCUCGUUUCAGUGCCACUAUAGCCUGGCAUUGUACAUAUCACUAUCUUCCUGUCGAAUAGGAAGGUUCUUAAAUUCUGAGACAUUUGGUAACAUGCCUGAGUUAUGUGUAAAAGCUUAGAUUUGAAUUUGAGCCUCCUGACUUGAAUCUUGCGUUUGACCAUACCACAUCUGCACCUAGCUGUUGGAGGAAUCAGAACGCCCAAGACCCAGAUAACUCUAAAUAAGGCCCAGUCUGAGUCGUGCUUCAUGGUUAGGUUCAUAAGUUCAGUGCUGAAAAGGCUGAUUUUUCCUGUUUUUCUAGGGUCUGUUUGCUGGAUUUAAGAUACGCUCUCUCCAGAAAUAUGACAAAACAAUUGUUUUGUUUGCUCAUUUUUUGUUUUGUUUUGUUUUUCGUUCUUACAAGGUAACUAGUAUCCCUAGCACACCAGAAAUAAUUGGCACUGAUGUUCCUGACAAGAGGAGUCUGCUAAAAGUGACCUUUAAAUGCCUUUUGGUGGAGUGAUUAUUUAAUUUAGGCAGUUUCUUUUCUCAGAAAGGAAUUAACAGUUUCUACGGGCUUUGCUAGCUGAGACCUUUAGUUUUAAUCACCUCCUUGAAAACAUUCUCCUUAAUCUAUUCUGAGUAAGAUGGUGGGUUUCUUUGUACUUUGGCCUUUAACUUUUUUUUUUUUUUGAGACAAGCUCUAUCACCCAGGCUGGAGUAUAAUGUCACGAUCAUAGCUCACUAUAAACUUAAACUCCAGGGUUCAGCCGUGGAACACAGGUGAUCUUCUUGACUCAGCCUUUUGAGUAGCUGGGACUACAGGCCCACCACACUGUCUAAUUUUUUAUUUAUUUAUUUUUGUAGAGAUGGGAUCUUGCUAUGUGGCCCAGGCUGGCCUCAAACUCCUGGCCUCAAGAUAUUUCCCCCUGCCUUGGCCUCUCAAAGUGAAUCUACUUGGAGAGAGUCAAACACAGAAUCCCUUUGAAUUUAAUGGCCAUUCCAGGUGAUUUGAACAGCCAAAUAAGAAACAGGUCCUCUUCAAUGUACAAUCUGCCAAGUAUGAAGUCUGAAUGACCAUCAUUAUUAUGUAUUUAAUGUGCAUAGAAAAUCUAUCUGCAACCUUCCAGAGUGUACCAGAAGUUUGGAAUGUACAUUAUUAUUGGCUCCAUCUCAAACCACUCAUAAAUCAAAGAAAAUAGCAGUUCCAGAGGAAUCAUCAUAGAGGCUUCUAGGCCCCCAUGCUGUGUGAACCUGGUGAGAAAGGGAAGUCUGCUCUCACUGGACACUGGAACUGUUUGUCUCUGUCUCUGCUGUACUUUCCCUGCCUCUACCUCACUUAGUAAAGAAAUCAUCUUUGCUUGAUAACUAAAACAACCAAUAAGGCUGAGAAAGGGGAAAACCCACAUCUGGAUUUAAAUACAAGGUAUUGGGCCAGCUGCUGGGGAUUAAACUUUGAACAAAACAGAUAGAAUCUAUGUCCUCAUGGGAGUGGCUAAUGGGAGAGUCGGAACAAAAAAAUAGCCAAGGAUAAUCCAGCAAAUGAUUUGGUGAAUGCUAUCAAAGAGAGAAAUACACAUGCUCUGGGAACACCAAGUAGGUACCUAAUACCUAACCUGUACCUGGGGGGCUGGAAAGGGCUUCUUGGAAGAGGCAGAGACUAAAAUGAAGAAUAAGCAUAAGUUAAGACAAAGCUGGGGUGGGGUCAGAAAGAGUGUGAUAGGCCAACGCAGCAACAUGAGCCAAGACUCAAAAAUAAGAGACAGUGUGGCACAUUUGAUGUAGGAAAGACAUUUAGCUGGGAUAGAAAGAAGGCUAGUGUUGGGGCUGAAUGAGGUUGCAUAAAAGUUUGUAAGCCAAGUUAAGGAAUUGAUCAAAUUUAUAUUUUAGAAUGAUCACUCUGACCUCAGCAUUACAUGACCUGAAGGGGUUAAGCCCAUACAUCUGUAGAGAGACCCGUUAGAAUAGGACUGCAGUAAUAUGGUGAGAGACACUGGUGCCUAACUAGGCUGGUGAUCAUAGAGAUAAAGGGAUAUAUGGGAGAGGUAGAGCCGACAGCCAUUGAUAACUGGUGGUCGGCCAGGUCAAGGGGACAGUGUCUGCUUUAGGUAAUUGGCUUGAUGAUAAUCUCAUUUUCAAAGAUCAGGAACACAGGCCUGAGAGUACAUUUGGAGAGGAAGAUGAUUCGGGUUUGCAUCAUGUAGGGUUCGAGGUGUCUAUGGGACACUAUAUGCAGAAGUCCAGUAGGCAAUUGGUUCUGUGGGCCUAGCACUCAGAGGAGAGUGCGAGUCUAAUGACAGAAAAUUGGCAGUCACCAUCGUGUAGAUGGUAAUGGAUGGUAUGAUUUGGGGUGAUUGCUGAGGCAGGAACAUGGGCACAAUGCUGAGGAGUGCAAAUGGCUAAGGGAUGGGACACAGCAGGAACCUGCAAAGGAGCCCAGAAAACAAGAAAUAGGGAGAAAGCCUGGGAACACUGUGAUUCUACGGAAUCACAGAAUUGAAGACAAACAAUGUGAAACUAAGUACAGGCCCAUUUACUAACAUAUGUGUGUGUAUAUAUAUAUAUAUAUAUAUAUAUAUACACACACACACAUAUAUAUACUUAUAUAUAUAUACACACACAUAUAUAUACUUAUAUAUAUAUACACUUAUAUAUAUAUACUUAUAUAUACUUAUAUAUAUAUACACUUAUAUAUAUAUACUUAUAUAUACUUAUAUAUAUAUACACUUAUAUAUAUAUACUUAUAUAUACUUAUAUAUAUAUAUAUAAAAUUUAUUUAUUUAUUUUUAUUUUAUUUUAUUUAUUUAUUUUUGAGACAGAGUCUCCCUCUCUGACCCAGGCUGGAGUGCCGUGGUAUGAUCUCGGCUCACUGCAACUUCUGCCUCCCAGCUUCAAGCAAUUCUCCUGUCUUAGCUUCCCAAGUAGCUGGGAUUACAGGCGUGCACCACCACACCAGGCUAAUUUUGUAUUUUUAGUAGAGACGGGGUUUUGCCAUGUUGGCCAGGCUGGUCUCGAACCCCUGACCUCAGGUGAUCUGCCCACCUCAACCUCCCAAAGUGCUGGGAUUACAGGUGUGAGCCACUGCAUCUGGCCUCAUAUAUUUUACUAUAACAAAUCAGUGUAGGCCAAAUAAAGUUAGAAAUGGAAGCUAAUGGAAAUAAAGAAUAGGCUUUCCUGUUAGUAUCUAUAGGUGUGUGUGUGUGUGUUCGUUAUUUAGGGAAAGAAACAGGGAACUUGGGGCAUAUAAUAUUUAUGUUCCCUUAGCUUAGGCAUAUAUGGUAUAUUUAGUUACUUAAUUAAUUUUUUAUUUAGAAGUUAUGUAUAGAGCAUUUUUCCUAGGCCAGUGGGGGAUUAAACCAGAAAUAUAAGAAGUGUCUGCCUUCUGGAAGCUUGUGAUCUAGUUAGGGGUAUCACAAGUGCACAGCGUUCACCAGUGGCAGAGAAGCAUGUGAUGAGUACCCAGAGCUUAUAUUGAGAAUAAGGUAUACAAGAAUUUAGAGGAGGCCAAUGUUGAUUUUCACCAAGAGUAUGGGACAGAGAGACAAGACAGGGUUGGUCAUCUAGUUCUGUGCACUGAAUAUAAUUUUGCAGGUUUAGGAGUGUUUGAAAACUACAAGGAAGAUAGAAUCUUGGUCUUGUUCUCCAGCAUGCCCUUUCUUGAACUCACCAGGGUAAUGCUGCAUCUUUUCAGAAAUGCCUCUGGCUUCUCAAAGCAACUUUCAUCCUGGAGAGGAACAAUUAGUCUUUGUCUUUCAUUAGUAAAAGAUUUAACGGCUCAGAAGGAGAAGCUAGUGGUGACUUUUCAAUCACCCCUUCUACCUCCCAG